AGUUGGGAAGGUAUCUAUUUCCUUGGAAUUUGCAUACCAACUCUUGCCAGGAAUUCCAAAGGAAAAAUAAGAAAGAAAAAGAAAAGAGGACAAAAGUUGGACUUCCAACUGGAAACUGUUUCCAAGCCUUUCAAGGGUCCCAAACGUACGAAUUUACCCGAUAUAUGGGUUCCAUUUCCAGAUGAGUACUUCUGUAGGGAGCCAAUGGACCCUUAAGUAGGGUUUUCUUGCUUUCUGUUUCCUUUGUUUGUUCCACCAAUUUGCAUGAUUUCUAUAACUGAUGUUGUGAGAUGAGACCUUGCUCCUACAGUUGCGGCAUCUUGUCGGGUUCAAGUUGUCAAUUCUUACAUUAGAUAUCCAAUGCCACUUUCAUGGCCUUCUAACGUUUGUUUCCUGUGUAAUGAGGCCAAGGAUCUGUCCAUCAUCUGUUCAUUCAAUAGGAUGGAAUGGGAAGGCAUUUAGGGUGAGAGGUUUCUUGCUUUGGCUAGUGCUCCCUUUUGAAGUUUGUCGAAUUUGGAGGAAGAAAUGAAUGCCUCUUCAUUGCUAAGGUGGCCGAUUUGGGAGUGGUAUUCAUAAGGAUUAAGGGAUCUCUGGUUUAUUGGGUUCUCUCAUGUGAAGAACAUCGCAAACUGAAUUUGUCUAUUCAAAUUGGUCAUGAAUGCUUUUGUUGAAACAGGAUGUCUUUUUAAAUUGGUCAUGAAUGCUUUUGUUGAAACAGGAUGUCUUUUUAAAUUGGUCAUGAAUGCUUUGCUUGCACAAGGUUUCAAAUCCCAUCAUUCAUGACUAGAGCUUUCAAUGGGAACAUGGAAGCUCUCUCUCAUGAAGAAGUUAGUGAUGUGUGUUUUGUUGAAAGAGGAUGUCUUUUCAAAUUGGCCAUGAAUGCUUCAUGUGCACAAGGUUUCAAAUCCAACCAUUUAUAACUGGAGCCAGUCUCCGAAGGAAAUGUGGAAGCUGGAUAUAGAUGGCAUUGUGUCUUCUAGGAGGGGGCUGGGUAUGGGGAUAUUCUCAGAGACUUGGAAGGUAAUGUUAAAUUCUUGCUAAGAGGAAGUUGACAUCCGUAACUGAAUGCCAAGGCCAUGUGGUAACAGUGUUGUAACGGAUUGGUGGGUGUAACAGUCCCCACUGAUACUCUACAUUCCUGUAACGGCCAUUAUGCCCCUGUAAUGUUUGCUUUUUAAGUAAAAAAAUCAGAAAAAUAUGAAAAAGAUUAUAAAUA